UACGGAGGAGGCAAGCGUUAUCCGGAAUUAUUGGGCGUAAAGCGUCCGCAGGUGGCACUUCAAGUCUGUCGUCAAAGACUGGGGCUUAACCCUGGAAAGGCGGUGGAAACUGAAGCGCUAGAGUGCGGUAGGGGUAGAGGGAAUUCCCGGUGUAGCGGUGAAAUGCGUAGAGAUCGGGAAGAACAUCGGUGGCGAAAGCGCUCUACUGGACCGCAACUGACACUCAGGGACGAAAACUAGGGGAGCGAAUGGG
rnacentral:rRNA from 1 species